rnacentral:rRNA from 1 species
UAGGGAAUCUUCCACAAUGGACGCAAGUCUGAUGGAGCAACGGCCGCGUGAGUGAAGAAGGUUUUCGGACCGUAAAGCUCUGUUGUUGGUGAAGAAGGAUAGAGGUAGUAACUGGCCUUUAUUUGACGGUAAUCAACCAGAAAGUCACGGCUAACUACGUGCCAGCAGCCGCGGUAAUCGUAGGUGGCAAGCGUUGUCCGGAUUUAUUGGGCGUAAAGCGAGCGCAGGCGGAAGAAUAAGUCUGAUGUGAAAGCCCUCGGCUUAACCGAGGAAUUGCAUCGGAAACUGUUUUUCUUGAGUGCAGAAGAGGAGAGUAGAACUCCAUGUGUAGCGGUGGAAUGCGUAGAUAUAUGGAAGAAUACCAGUGGCGAAGGCGGCUCUCUGGUCUGCAACUGACGCUGAGGCUCGAAAGCAUGGGUAGCGAACAGGAUUAGAUACCCUGGUAGUCCAUGCCGUAAACGAUGAGUGCUAAGUGUUGGGAGGCUUCCGCCUCUCAGUGCUGCAGCUAACGCAUUAAGCACUCCGCCUGGGGGAGUACGACCGCAAGGUUGAAAC